rnacentral:lncRNA from 1 species
GCUGUGGGUUGUUGGGAACAGGCAGUCUGUCAGAAACAGUCAGCUAUGGAUCACCAAAGAAAUGGGGGUGCAUGAGGCUUCUGCUGAGCAUCUGGCAGAUUAGAUCCGAUCCCUGGUUGUGCAAGGGCUUACACCUGCACAAACCUGAGAAUUGUGAUGUGAUUUCAUCUCCUAAAUGCCUCAAGUUCAGGUCUUUUCUUAUUUCUGUUUCAUUGUGUCUCCAGGAAAAGGAACCUAUAUAGCAAAGCUGGCCUGGCUGUGGGAUGUUGGUAAGGAAGCAAAUACAGAAGUUUGAGUCAGGACAGAGCAGGAAUUACAGCCAUGGGUGGUGCAAGUUCAGUAAAGGACCAGUGAAAGCUGCUGACUUGGGAAGGGCCAGCUCUAAAGGCAC